rnacentral:lncRNA from 1 species
UAUGCUUUCCUCUAUCGGCCUCAAUAGAAGGAUUUAGUCGCAGCUUUCACGAAAAUCCUAAGCUAAGACCGCUUCUUCCUAUUCUACAUAUGAGAAUCUUGAAAUCAGACUCUUCCUCAACUGAGAAUCCUAACUUCUAUCGUUCAUGAACCAAUCGUAACCUAGGAGCAGAAGGACGAUGGCUUAUUAAGCUUAUAAAGACAAGUCUGGCUUCCUUCUUUCCUCUUCAAGGUUGCAAUAGAAUGGCUUGACAAAGGAACUGGAUAGAAAGCAUUUCCCGGAACUUCAAGGAGGACAAAGCAAUCAAUGAACAAGGCUCCGUAAGGAGUUGAAAGGAAAUAAAGCGGAACGCAAUAUUCUUUGCACCUUUACCUGUGGUAAUCACUAUAGUACCAGCUGCUGGGUAUGAAAAUCUUCCGCUUAGCCCCGCUUAUAGAGACUACUACUACGCGGAUGAGAACGGUAACUCAAGUUCAAAAGGACUCCCACGGGGGCGGUACCACCUUCUUAACCCACUGAUAUAAGCAUAAGCAGCUUCUAGAGCAGAGCUUGCGAAGCUAACAAGCCUACCUAGCUGGCAUAAGCAAAGACAAAAUUCAGCCGGCCCCGAAUCAGACACAGCUAUACAUAUUUAUAGAGUCCACUGGAACGAAGUCAGAACCUACUAAAAGGUCUCAUUUCUUUCUAGCAACUCGAACUCGACUCGAAGAAGGGAGUUAGCAGGCUGGCCCACGGAGCGGUAACUCCACUUGCCGAGGAGGAAAUGCUCUUCUUUCUUGUUCUCUCUCUUGGAAAAUAGAUGAGAAUACCAGGUUCUCCCUAAUCUCUUGCUAGAAGAGUGUGAUGGUUUUCCGUCUAAUUUGACCUUCAAUUAUUUGAAGAGAGAGUUGUGUCUGUAGGAAAAGGUCUGUCUCCUAGUUUCAGUAAAACUACCAUAAGUUUUGAAUUUCUAAACUCCUAUAACUUCUCCUUGGAAGUCUACAUUCACUAAAUACUAAGAGAGAUGUCCUAAUUCAUGGGUGUGAUUGAUACCUAUUCAAAUUCUCCCUAGACACAAAGAAAGAAAGUGAGAACUCAUUUUACGUACGUUUUUCUCUGAACGGAUAAUUUCAGUGUGAUCCACACCCCAACGGGAUUAUCCCACUUUCUAUACGAGAAAAGAGUGGUAUCAGAGAAUCCCAGAAAGUUCAAGCCAUAAAAAAAGUUCAGACGCUUCUUUUUUAGACAAAGACAAAGAAAAAAAUCGAGCUGAGAUAAUUCUUUGAGCGCUCCGACGGAGCAAAGACGUCCAAGAGAAAUCAAGCGGAAGAUGAGUCUUUAUCCAUAUUCAAUUCCUUGCCGUAGGGUCCACAAUAUCCUUGUCUUAUGGAGCCUUGCCGUAGGUGCUUUCCUUUAUUUGAAAGAUUAUUCAAUCUAUUAGAUGGGGAAGGGAAGCUUAAUUCAGAGCUGACUUUCAUACGAAAGGCUGAAUGAAUUGAGAGGAUCAAUGAAAUAAAGCUAGGUUAAUACGGAUAGUCACCUGGACCUUUCUUUGACGGUUCAAAGAAUAUUGCGACUGAAUUUCAUUCUUAUGUUCCUGCUUUCGAUUUAUGGAACUCAUCCGCUUUAUCCAUAUUAACCUCUCGCUUCCGAAUCAGGCAGGUGUCGAGCUUACGAUUGAGCGCCGCUGCCUAUUGAUGGAGGGCUAACUUUUAUCGUUCACUGUCUGAUGUGGAGUAGUUAGACAGUUUGGCAUGGAAUGCUUCCACUUCUUCUCGUGAAUCUCAUAUACAAUAGAAAGAAUAAUCGCAAAGCAUAACGGAUGAGGCAUUCACCCACUUCAACAACCGGAAGAACUUAUGCUACUGAGCGAAGAACUUCAACUUAUGAAACUGCUUAAACAAGGCGCUUCUAAUGGAUAGUCCGGAGGACUGGAAGAUUUUCACUGGGGGAUAUUCUUUUGUUUGCGUGAGUUGCGUGAGAAAUUAUCUUCUAAAUCAGAAUUAAGGGGCUUGGCUCGAAAGGUUUACUAGAGCAAGGGUUGAUCGAGCUUCCCGAACCUAAGAAAGCAGCCCACUACGCGGUGGGACGAGUAGGAGAUCCCAAAGACUGCUAAUUCCAUCGGGUUAAUAGUCAUCCGAUAGACGAUUGUUGGGUUCAACAAGAAAAGAUCCAAAAGUUCUUAAAUGAUGGUGUCAUUGAAAUAGACCGUCCUAAGCAACCUGUGGUCACCUCCAAUCCGGUAUUUGUAAUAGUUGGAUUCUUUGCCCGAUAGCUGAGAUCUCGCCAAGCAUAGCCUAUUCUAGUUCUAGCACCGGAAGAGCAAUUGAAGAGGAAAAAAAUCUUGAUUCAAGAUAUUAAAGAAGAAUGGAGCACUCGUCUUAGCCGAAGGAGUAGGAAGCGCCAACGACGAUUGAGACCGCCUAGCACUGUACAAGACGAAGGUAUUCAAGGAACUCUCUGAUGCAUCUUCAUUAUAUCAAUUUUUGCAUCGGGAUUGGGUUAACUAACUUGAUGGAAUCACAUCACUGCAACUAAGCAUUGAUGGCUGAAAGCAUCUGUUUUGGGUGUCAGCCGUUACAGCAAAAUCAUCGGUGCAUAAGGCUAUCUUUAGCGGUUCGUAGUGACCCAUUUUCCAGCGAAAGAGCAAGCAACCUCUUAUGUAGGAGAAUCCAUCGCUUUGUCAUGCAUAUCAGUUGUCAAACCUAUAUUCUUGCGACAUCGACUAUGUUCGCCCAUCGCAUCGACGGACUCGGCUUCGUCCUAGAACAUCGUUAAUGAGCUUAUUUUGACACUGCUUAGAUUCGAAUUGGUUCGGAAGAGAGGAUCGUCAUCAGUUUAAGACCUUUCGGCCUUGAGAACAUCGACUCAUCUCAAGGUAGUGGUCGGCCUUCCUACAAACCGCUAUCACUUUGGAAAACCGUCUUUCCUCAUUUCAGUCAUCAUUUUGAGCACAUUUUAAUGAAUCUUUACAUCGCUCUCAGGCUUUCGCGCAAGAAAAAUCGCCAUAUAUGUUCGCCCGUCGCUAGCAAAGAAUUCUUUCGGAGGCCGCCGCCGAGAGACAACCUAUCUAUUCAAUUCCUCUUUUUCGUGGACAAGCCUCUUCUAUUCCAGAAAGCAGCAAUAACCGGCCAGCGGUAGACACCGCCCGUCACAAACACGUGAACGAGAGAGCAUCUCAUCUUUUCAUAGAAAUGUGCGGUAAGCAAGGCAUCUGCUUUUGCUGAUCAAAACUGCUUUUUUUUGUUCCCAAGGAGUGCUAUUCGAACCUAGCCCAGUCUUGUAAGACCUUCUGUUAUGAGUGAGCAUCGGCCCCGGGAAUCCCUUGCUUUUGGCUACGGUCUUUUUUUCCCUCUAAACUAAUAAUGAACAAAGACUACUGGAACGGCACGACAGCAAUACCACGACAGAUAUACUUACCGACAAGAGAGAGCGAGACUGACCCACCUAAGAGAGAGAACGCAAGAUUGACUCCCCCCUAUCAUUUGUUGGCCGGAAGAAAGUUUUGAUUUCCCACGGGGGACUAGAGGAGCAUUUUAGGAAUCCCACGGAGCGGUAUCGCUUGUGAUAAGGAUUCAGUCUCAUUCAUAUAGUAAUGCCCUUAGCUUGCGCCCUAUUUGAGACUGAGACUAAGAUAUAUAUGGAAUAGUCCUUCGGACCUGUCCUAGCACCUUUCUAAAAUCCCUAGCUCUCUUCCUUAGUGCAACUGCCCUAUUCCUAUCAUGGGAAUAUCUAUCUUUCUUUCUUGUGUCAUAUCUAUAGUUUCUUUUCUCAAAGCGGACGGUAUCGUAUAUUCAUCAAGAGAUUGUUGACGUUAGUAGACUAAUCUAUGAAUUGGUAGGGCAUUUCUUCCUGUGACCGCCUUUCCUACCACUAACCCAAGCCAAUCCGGGUUUUUUCUAAACUAAACCUUCGGGAUUUUUUUAGGAUGAAUACAUGCAUUGAUCCAGUCGAAGAACCUGCUCCAGAGCUACUACUCUGUCUAGUCUAUCUUCCUGCCCGCCCCGGGUUCGCAUCCAUUGCCUGGCCUAUGAUACGAAUUGGAUGAUCGGGAACUGCCGUAGUUGGUGAAUAACGCUAUCGCGAGCUAGAAAAAAAGAAAUCUUGGGAAUUCGCUCUUUGGUAUUCGAUAACCCCCACUACGCGGUGUAGGCGCUUUACCGUGUUGGAGAGAAAGAGAAGAAGGAAGGAGUGAAGUAAACAUCUAAAGUUCAAAAGUCAACCUUAUAAGCUUCUUAUAGUGUGCAAGACCAAUAAGGGUUGUCAGUUAGACUUCCUCUGAGCACGCAACAAGCUGUCCAGAGUGACGGUUAGCGGUACUCCGUCCAAAGAGUCAGAAUAGUAGCUAUCGCCCUAGUUAGUCGUUCAGAGCGAGGACGACCAGCACAACCCCUUUUCUGCUACUAUCAUAGGAGCCGUCUUAAGCAUAGGCGCUGAGAACACCCUUCUUUGGCGAUGCCCAAGAUCGCAAUGGAUUCCACCGCGACUUUGAUUAUAUUAUACGAUAGCGGUCUAUGAGUCUUUGGCGUACCUACUUGAUAGAGCUAGGACCGUCACGGUCAACUUUCUUGUUCUUUUUCUCUCGCUAUGCUUUGCAACUUUCAAAAAAGAUUGUACGAGCUCCAGCAAAAAUCAAGCUCUGGAUGUGCAAUGAGGUAGUCCGGCAAUAUUCUUUGCACCUUGCACUCCUCUCACGCAAACCCGCAAUAUUCUGCAUUGAGCCUUGGCACCUGUCCUCCGGACUAUCCAUUAGAAGCGCCUCUUGUCGAGUAAGAAAGGUUCGGUAAAACUCUCGGGGAUGGAUCGACUGAUAAGGAAUCCCUCGUCGCAGUGGCAGGAGUGUGCUGUACUCUUUCAUAAAGAUCAGUCGGGACCUGGGCGUCGGCCUGUGCACUCUAUUUCUUAAUCAAUUGAUGUAUUCCGCAAGACAAUGAAUACGUGGAAGUCAAGAAAAUCAGCUCAUUAACGAUAAUGAAAGAAGCUCAAAAUGGGAAUUCAAAAGAAAGAGGGAGAUUUCAGAGCUAGAUUGAAGAUGAAUCCGCGGAGGGAAAUACAUGAUUUUGCUAGGUUUUGCCCAUAGGGAAGUAGCAAGAAAUCAUGAAAAAUCAGUCAUUUUUGAUCUAUUUUCGUUAGAUAAGAAAAGUCGAAAAAGUCCUAUUUAGAAGCAAAAAAGCCGGGAAAUAGCAAUGAAAGAAUCAUAAAGGGAUAAGAAAUUCACAUAGUUUGUUCAAACUUCUAGUUUCUGGUCCGGAGAAAUACGGGUCUAUUCUUUAUUUCACUCCAGGUUAUUCAAUCAUAAGGAUUCUUGAAUUCGAGUUAAUGAGCCCGUAGUUAGGAGUAUUAAGACCGGUCCUACGUCCAUUUAUCCUCCGGACUAUCCGUAAUUAACCGAACUUUGCACCUCCGGAUAGGAAAAAAGUGACUAAAAAGGAGCUCAAGUCAACGCAUAUUGAAUUGCACCUCUUCUCUCCCUUUCUUUUUGCUUCGCACCUCUUGCGAGUCGAGUUUCUUCUCACCGCGUAGUGGGGCGGAUCCCACGGAGCGGUUCAAACUGAAAUUGAAAGAUUUGAAUCAAGGGAAUCUGGAUCUGUACCGUCGAUCCUGUUAUGAGAAGAAUGAAAGCAUAUAAUCGUAUCCUCUCGGCAGCUUCUUGAUCUUCCUCUUCUGGGCCUGCUACAUCGUUCCGACCCUUGCUUUGCUUCUUAAUACGGUCGAAGGGUAUUACAAGCGCUCGACCUACUUCAGAGUCUUUUCGAGAAUGGGAGUCAAUAAAUAAUGAAUCCAGUUUCCAGGUUCAAGGCCCCACGUAGGGGGAAGAGAUCUAGCUGAAAGAGCUGCUACAACUAAAGCAAGGACUGCUGGAACAAGAACUGCUACUGCCUCCGAUUCCCCCUACCUAAACUGAGAUUCUUCUUCUUCGAAUUCAACUGAUUUAUCUAACUGCUUCGGAUCCACGGAGUGCAAUAUUGAAGAAUUUAUUAGAAAGAAAGAAGCAUCUCGACUCUUCCAAUCCAUCUUGAUUGUAUAGGUUUCAUGAGAGGGGAAUAACUACGAAUGGGAACUUCCAGUUUUUGAAGUAGGAUCACUAGAGGCAGAUUUUCGGGCGGGGAGGCAGUCCCAGUUGAAUGAUCAGUUUCGGAAGUUGCCCACUCCGCGGUUCAAAGAAUAUUGACAGUCGCUUUAGUUCUUGCAGCAGAAGUAGCUGUCGUAGCUCGUCUUCCUCUUUCAUCAGUGGCUCUUUCUGUAUCGGUUGAAGAACUAUAGAUAGGCCCAGUUUAGCAGAGCUUCACCAUAGGGUCUUUCGUCGGAUUCUGACUAGUGAUGCUGCACUUGUAUUCCCCAUACUCGGAUCGUAGCGGGCAAUCAUCUCUCAGUCGAUAAAGGCUCGACGCACCCAUCUUGUAGUUGCGGUUCUUUCUCUUGGUGAUAAGAGUGAUAAGGCGAAUCAAGUGGCAUUUAACUCUUUCUUUACGCCUUCUUUCUUUCUACUUUCUACCAGUCCUUUUUAGAGUCCUUCGGACGUCCUCAGUCCUAUCCAUUAGAGAAUUUGAGUUGCGGCUAUUCUAAAAAGGUAUAAGGUUGCCUAUAUUUCAUUCCCGAUUGAACAAGGACAGAGCCUUAUGCGGAAGACAUUGGUGGUGGGACAACUGAAAGGGCGGAUGCCUCAACCGCAGAGUGGGAGUCUCACCUUUCUCUUCUUAUGUUGGGAGUUUUUGUCCCAUAAAAAAGAAUAUACCUUUUCAUCAAUCCGUAGUUCAUCCUACUCAUCAUCAUAUACUAUAGAAAAUCAGAGCUUCUAAAGCAGAACGGAUGAGGCAGGAGAGACUGAAACGAGAACAAGAAAAGCCACUUCCUCAACAGAACAAGUGAGAGCCACGGCCUCUGGUCGAACAGCCUCUUAAGUGGGUCGCUCCUUUCUCUCUCGCUUUAUUUAGCUCGACUCAAUUACAUUGAUCCGAUCCUGCUCAAGAAAUAAUCAGAGUGUUGAAGACCGUCCUUCAGCAUAAUCUAAUAGGAUCAAAGUAUUUGAGCUUUGCGCCUAGCCUUCGGACGGAAGAAAAACAAAGGUCUAUAUGAACUACAUCGCAAUAUUCUUUGCACCUCACGCAAUGAUCUUUGCUCCUCCUUCUACGCUCUCCAUGGGCUCGACUGAGAUGGACGGAGGCUAAGACAGGGAUAUUGAUGAUUGAUUGACUGGUCCGAAGGACUAUCCAUCAGGGAGGCUCAAAGCAAGCCCACUACACGGGAAGAAUGGAUAUUGUAGACCGCGGGGGAGGGGUCAAAGAAUUUGAGAAGAAGCGAAGAAAGCCCUCACUGAGCGAAGCCCACGUAGCGGUAUGAAAGAGUAUGAAAUGACUAUGCGAGCGUACAGAUCCCCAUAUUCAUUAGGCGAAGGACUUAUUUAUUGAACUGAAACUGACUGAACUUUCCUUUCACCUCUCCUUCUCUUUCUACACUCGAAGAGCUGAGCUCCAGAUCCAAUGCUGAUGGCAAGGCUUGAGCACUACGAAUGAGCUCUGGCGUCCGGAAACUCACUCAUUCAAAAAAAAAGAUGAGAUCGAUUCAUUGCACUUCCUUCUUGACUUCCGCGUAGUGGGCCCUCCCUCUCCUGAGAAUGAAAGCGAGAGGGUUCGGAUGUAGUCCGAAUCGAGAAAAUACUGAGUUUAGGCCCCUUCUCGAGUGAAGUAUAUUGGGUCCUCCUUUCUUCAACUCCAGGAUCUCAUACCGAUGCCUUCAAUCAAUGGCCCGGCCAGGGGAGUUCAUUAAAGAGUUCGAGUCCACUCUCUCUACUUAAAUUGAGAUUUGGGAAAUCCAUGAUUUAGUAGGAAAAAGACUUACUUGAGCAAGAGCAUUCCUCAUCCUAAACCUCGACUCAUUGAAUUCCACUAAGAAGGAUGAUGUUGGGAUCUUCCCUUUGUCCCUGGUCUAUUCCCCUUUCGAGCUUCCUCCACCUUCCACUCUCCUUAUCAGUAGCAAGAUCAGCAGCAAGGGCGAGCCCUAUCUAUCUGAUUAUCCUUUUCGGAGACUUCCCUUCGCAAGAGAUCAUAUCUGGGACUACGGAGAAUUCUCCUCCUUCCCAAUGAAAGAAAAAGUAUGACUCUUCCCUGGUCGAGACUGAUAACCUAGUCCUAUGGAGCCCCACUCUUCUUUCUUCUCUUUCUUCGUAGUAAAUACCUUGAUUCUAUACAGAAUAAGAUAACUCCUUUCGUAUUCAUACCUCGUCUACAUUAAUAGUGAGCGCUGACUCCUCGGGUAAGCCGUUGAGAUCCGGAAGGAUUGAUCCUACUUAUUCAAAUUCAUUCCGAGGCCACUGACUGACUAAUUCUUCUAGCUUUACUCAAGCGAAGAGAAUCGCUUCCGAUUCAUCAUUAUUACAGAGAUGCUAAAUUCAAUGACUGAGAAAACCCAGCCUAUAUCUAACCGAUGUCAGUGACUCACUCUUAUGCUAUGCAUUCAAUGCCCUAAAAGCACCUCUAUCCUGAAAUCUCUCGACUUUCAUCCUAUUUUCCGGUAUGGACGCGAAGCUCCUCUUCCGAUCCUGGGUGGAGCAUAAAAGGACCUCCCCCUCAACUCUUAAGGAAUCAGACUCCUUCUCAUGAAAGAAAGACUUCUUCCGACCCUCUCCCGAAACAAGAGCAUUCUAAACUUCUACAUCGCGGAGAUAGAGGACUUCGAAUAUGAAUUCAGCCUCCUACUACCUUGUCUUUCUUCUUUCUAUAUUCUUGAACUCAUUGAUAAGGACAUAUUCACUUGCAUCCGAAUCCGAGAAGAAGUCAAGCCCACUGGUCUCGCCUUUGUCCUCUCCCACUAAUUAAGGUCGUCGAGCGGACUCUGAUGAAAGGCAAUUCCCCGAUCCUACUUAGUUAUAGCUGGGUUCUAACCUUUAUAGCUGGAGGACUACUUGGUCUAGCUGCUUGGGUAAGCCCUUUCUAUCCUAUUAGGUCUCGAAGCUUCCUUUGUUCCGAUCCAAGUGCCAUAGUUCCGAUCAGAGUCAACUCGGUCCUUGCUUCCUAUUGGUGCUUUAUAAUAUAAGUCGAGUCGUAUGAUAACCUCUAACUCUUGCUUCGGCAACAUCUCAUUCCCUGUCUCCUGAGAACAGUUAUUCAGUAAUGGAAUAAGAGAGUUUCAUACCGCUACGUGGGACUGAUGGAUUCCAUGGAACAAGAGUCACAGCCGCACUCAAUCAGUGACGUCGUAUGAUAACCUCUAACUCUUGCUUCUGAGAAUACUUAUCGCUUCCAACGGAACUUAGUCCUACGAACUGAAAGAUCCCCUUACAAGCUCAGCUACUCACUGUAGAGCAUACUAACUGCCCGCAGCACCCUCCUCUUCCCCCCGCCGAGAGGGCUUCCUAUGGAGGUGGUUAUGCUUCUUCGCAUACGAUCCCUAUCAAGUCAAGCUCCUUCUUCCACUCCCACUAGGUUUCUUCAUACAAUUCCCGCUCCGUGGGAGUUCUAGCUGCCGAGAGAAGAGUUACCUGUCUGCGUCCCCGCUCCGUGGGCUUCUUAGUCUCUGACCUUGAUUCCAGGACAAAUAACUAUUCUCCUUCCUCGGUAAAUCGGGAAAGCUGAUAAGGGCAACUUCGUCUUACCUUGAAAAAGUAGUUAUUCCCUGAACACUCGUCUUCUCGGGCGGCUUCUUAUAACAUAACCUUCCACUCGGGACACCCGUACCUAACCCUAUGAUUCAGAUGAAUGAGAUCGCACGUCUUUGAGUACUUCCCGCCGAUGAAUUGGGAUUUCUUUCUCAUAAUAGAUAAAGAAAAGAGAUGCAUGCUACUUAAAUGAGAGAUUCAGACCUCUGAAGAAGACCUAUCCUGGGGAAGUCUCGCCCUUUCUCCUCUCGCUUUGUUCGAGCAUAUUUCCUCUUUCUUCCACUCGAAAUCCAUAUAUAUCCUACCAGCCCGCAACCCUUGUUUCGUUACUGACUCUAAUUCUAUUCAUUGAAUACCGUAAAUAAGUAGAUAGAAGAAUAGUUCUUGCAAUGGUAAAGCUCCUAACCCCGAUCAGGAAACCCAUGAAAGAGCAGACUCAACGGAUAAGUCUUCAUCAACCCUAUCUGGGAAAAGGCAAGUCUGAUCCCGGUCCUUUGUCUCCAUUCUGAGAUUCCGAGUUGAACAGGGCGUGAACCUUCCCAUAAUUCAAAGUAUGAAAUAGACUUUUCAUCUUUUCUAAUCCGGAAUGCGGAGUAGGAGGGAUCUCAACAAGAUAGACAUCUUUAUCCCAGGAUUUCUCCUUUCAAGCCUUUCCUUUCAUAAUCGUUCUUUAUAUAAGGGGUUGGGACUCAAUAAAUCCAGUAAGAAGGCAGGGAGAUCUAGCAAGAGCAGACUCUUGUUCAACGACAGCUAGAACGAAAGCUAGGAGAUAAACUGAUUAUUCUGAAAGAACCUCUCCUCUUCCUCUGGUCGAGACGUGCCGGCUCUUCCUCUUGAGAAUUCCUGCGUAUCGUUCAGUUACUCGUAUUGUAGGUGGAGCUCCAUAACGUUCUAGCCUCUCGCUGUGGAAUAGUAGUUAUCCCAGGAAGACAAUCCACAGUGAAAAAAGUAGAUCUGAAGCCACUGAUAGGCGGCCUUUCUAUCUUAUGCAUGAGCUGAUGGGUCUGUCUGUCCGCAGCUGUGAAUUCUAGCAAGAAAGCUAUGUCUCUUUCGUGACAAGCACUCGGAUAUUCUUUCUCUUUCUCUGACGCUUGGAGUGAUGACCUCAUAAGACCGAACCCUAUUGCUGCUUUGCACCUGGCCGGUCGAUCUGACUAACUAAGUUCUUAAAUGGCACAGCUCUCUCACAUAUGAAUACCUUUACUGUCGAGCUAGGGUUUCUCCUAUUUCAUACCGCUACGUGGGUGACUCCCGAUCCUCUCAGUCUCGGUCUCCUUUUCCCGGGUUGAAGGAAGCCUUUCUUUACGUCAAUAUUCUUUUCACCUUAUUUAUUCAAUAUGAUUCAAAUAUUUCUAGUCCUUCGCGGAGGGAAAUACAAGAUUUUGCUAGGUUUUGCCCAUAGGGAAGUAGCAAGAAAUCAUGAAAAAUCAGUCAAAAUUAGACAAUUAUCGUUAUUUAGAGAAAACCGAGAAAGUAUGAAAAAGAAGCAAAAAAGCCGGGAAAUUGCAAGGCAUUGUCCUAUUUGAUUUUCGAAAUUCACAUAGUUUGUGAAAACUUUUCUAAUGGAUAGUCCGGAGGACGGAGAAAUACGGGUCUAUUCUUCUCAAUAUUCUUUGACCCUCCAGGUUAUUCAAUCCUAAUGAUUCUUUCAUUCGAGUGAAUGAGUGAAUUAUUCUUGAAUUCGAGUUAAUGAGCUGAUUUUCUUUGAUUGACUUUGAACAGGUCCUUCGGCUAGGCGCAAAGUUCUAAUGGAUAGUCCUACGGACUCCGGACGGGGGAACCGAAGGCGCAAAGAAUAUUGCCCAUAUUGCCUCUCGUCUUAUUCCACUACUUAAGAAAAGCAAAGAAUAUUGCGAUGAAUCAUAUUUGAAAGGCGGUCGAUGAGCAAAGAAUUUGCACGGAGGCGCAAUGAAAUAUGCGAUUGAGAGUAGGUGCUUUUUCUGAGGGGUGAGGGGUAAAUCAAGAGGUCGUAUUGGUCGUGGAGCAGGCCACGAGGAAGGGUUACGGUUCGACUUCAAUCAAUUCGGAGAUUGAGAAUAAUCUAAGAGAAGGUUGCCAGUGAGGUGGUUCAUGUGAGAGAGGAAGAUAGCCACUGAAUAAGGAUAAUCAUCUUUCUUCUGCAUAAGCUUGUUAAGAUGACAACUGGAUAAGCUGCAUCAUAAGAUAAGCUUUCCACGGAUUCAAAGGGCUAGUAGGCCCCAUGGCAUGUAGACCUCGCUCCAGCCUUUGCCUCAGACAUUCUUCUUCAGUCGAGCUAUUUCAUAACCUAGGCUUUCUCUUUGGACGGAGGCUGAAUUCAUUGAGAGAACUUAUCCUAUUUUAUGUCUUUUAUUGAGGCUAGGGCAACUAUUUCUCAAAAAUACAAAAGAUGUAAAAGCUCGGGGAGUCAGACGAAGGAUUAAUCUCUGCACAAUAAGGAAGAGAGCAGAAUCAAUGAACAUCCAUAAAAGAAAUUAGGGGCUGCUGCUUAUCCAGUUGUCAAUACAGCUUCGGGCUUGAAAGCAUUGAGGCAGGCAUAAGCCGGCCCAUCAACCUAGCCCCUCUUAUGAGAAUAAGGCACAUAAGGCGCAAAGAAUAUUGCGGAAAAGAAUAUUGAAAAUGAAAACAUCCGUCAAAAUUAGGGUUGUGAACUAAUCUUAGAGCACUCAAAAAAAGUACCAUACCUUGGGCGGAUAGCGGGAAUCGAAGGAUUGCGGGCAGGACAAUGAAAACUGACUAACCCCCUGUACCCUCACCUCAUUACUCUGAGGAAUUGCUUGAACUGCUAGUGAGAGAUGGAAUCGAAGCAGUAGAAAAUGGUAAAGGAAGGACCGCUACGUGGGCAUCUGGAAGUCAUCUUCACCCUUGUUUUUGGUCAGGUAUAACUAUUGAACUCGGGGCUGAUUACUCUACUCUACUGCCUUAGCUAGAGGUCGAUCGGCCCAAAACCAUACUCUAUUUCAUCCGUGGAUUCCUAAGUCUCUAUACUCUAUUCUAUAUACGCAAAUCCUUCCUUUCCUCGCUGGAAUUGAAACCUAAAAGAAAUACGAAUUGAAUUUUGAUGGGACGUGGAAUAGGUCAAGGUUGAGGGUAGAGUUACCGCUACGUGGGCUGCUCCAGGGAAGACCCCGGACGGAAAGAGAGAUAGAAAGAGAGUUCGAUCCGAAACAUAAGAACGAAAGAAGAAAGGAUUAAGGAAGACUCCGCGAACAAAGCCCUUGGGAAAGAGAUCUCAUUCUUUGAAUUGAGUGCUAUGCAUUCACAAAAAAGAGAAAGGAAGAAGACUCCUAACCGUCCGAAGGACUAUUCAUCAUAUUUGAGAGGUUAAACUGGGGGUCUCACUUCAAGUUCGAGAUCUGACUCAUGGAGUGACUCAAAAAAGAUAACUUAGAAGAAUGCCAGCAUUUCGGAGUAGAUAUAUUUAUAGUAGUUCUAGCAAAAAAAUAGUUCACACCUGUCCUCCGGACUACGGAUAAAUCACCUGGACCUUUCUUUGGCCCUGCGGACUCCGGACUGCGGACUACGGACUUCUUCUUCUUUAAAAGGAAGGGUCCAGGUUUCAUAAGACUCCUUCUACGCGGUCUCGCAAUAUUCUUUUCACUGGGGGAGGCUCAAUGCAAUUUGAGUUGCGACUUUCACGAAAAACCCUGAUAAGUGAACCCAGGUCUCGCUACCAAACCAUCCCGUGUAGUGGGAUCGAGCCCCUUACGAGCACUGUCGCAGGGGAGUCGUUGGUUCCGCUUGCUCUUUCAGUACGAGGAUAGAGAAAGAAAGGCUCGCGAUAAGCCUUGGCUUUGAGAUGAGGCGAGGCGGAGUGGCUGAUCAGCUAGGGCAAUUCCCUUUCUUCAGUGCUUUGGCUCUUUCCUUAUUUUAUUGUGAAAUAAACUUAGCUGCCUAACGCCUUUCUGAAAAUCAAAGGAGAUUUCUUGGUCGAAACCAAAGCACUGAACUUAGUCGCGAAGAAGAAGCGAGACCCCUCCGGAGGAGAAGGAUAGGGGUUCAAAGAAUAUUGAAGCAAGGAGCAAAGAAUAUUGCGAGACCUCAGGAGUCUGAGAUCAAUGAAUGAGUGGAGUAUGAAAGAUCAGAGUGAAUAGGAGAGAGAGAAGAGAAAGAAAGGGCUUGUCCCCCACGGAGCAGGGGAAGUAACUGCAAGCUUUCUUUCCACCUUUGCCGAAUAGGGGUGGUUGCGGGCAUUGAAAGAAUGGGUUGGGGCCCUAGCUUCUUGAGGCAGUGCCAGUCGCAGUUCUCGUUCUUGAAGUUCUUCUUUCAACUCAUCCGCCUUUGGAGGUUAGCUAUAGCUAGGCCCAUAAUGAAUUAGACUAGAAGCAAGCUCGACCUCUGUAAUAGUACAAGCAGAAGAAAUCCAAAAACUCUACAUAUUAAGCUGUAAAAUCAAUAUAUAAGGAUCUUUGAGCUUAACUAAGGCGCAAAGAAUAUUGCGAAGGCUCAAUUUGAGGAGGAAAGAAUAUUGCGGAAAAGAAGAAAGGAGCGCAAGGCGCAAAGUUCGGUUAAUUACGGAAAGUCCGGAGGACAGAUAAAGAAAGGCUUUUGAUUUGACUUUUCCAACUCCGUUCCAGUUCGCCAAGGAGUGUGAGUCUUGAGCGGAGGCAUAAAAAGCCGAAUCAUAAAGACGGAGCACCACCCACUCUUUUUGAAAGGGAGAAAACGACUCAAAAAAAGAGGAGCAUCUCCAUGGGCGAGGACUCUUUGGACGGAGGACGAGGAUCAGAAAUCAAGAAAGCACUACGCGGGAAGAAUGGAUAUUGUCUUAGGAGCAGCGAGACCGCGGAAGGACGAGUCUUAUUCCACCAAGGACCACGACGGAGCAGCUCGCAUAUUGAAUUGGGCCUCCUCGAAUAUGAAUUCAUCCUAACAAAAAGAAGAAAUAUCCUCUCCGUUAGGCGCAAAGAAUUUGCGAAGGACUAUCCAUAUUAACCUGUGACGCCUUCUGACUAUUCAUCAUAUUUUUAAGAAAGCACUGGACUUUUCUUUCUCUUUGACAAUUGUAAAAGAAGGUGAAAUAUCCUUUAUAGGUCUGACCUUUCAAAGGUAAGAGGUCAAAGCAAAGCAAGCUUGCGAAGCAAGCGAGGCAAGAGCUUCUUUCAGCUUUUCCCGAACCAUUUGAACUCCAAUUUUUUCCUCUGCUGCUUUCAGCCCACUCCACUUCAUUGACCGAGACUUUCUAUUCGGUUAAAGACCUAGCCACGAGACCAACUCCUGUCUUCUGAGAUCAAUUCCCAGAUGCUUCGAGGCCGCAAGCUUCUUUAGUUUAGAGAAGGAGAUUUCUUCUGAAUCAGGGAAACUGCUCAACCGGAACUCUUCCCAUAGGCAUGAUUAUGCACUAGCAAGUUCCAAGAAGAGAAGUCAUAAGCCAAAGAUGUAUUCGAUCCUGAAUUUCAGGUAAUCUUGGCCGAUUGGUGGGCCCACGUAGGGCUUUGAUGAGCGAAAGAGCAUCCUCAACUCCCAGUCCCGGGUAAAGGUCAAGGUCUUUCAAAAGUCCAGAGAAGAAUUUUCAAUGGAAAGGAGUCAAGUUCAUCCGCAGGGAAGGCAAUCCAAUCGUCGGAAGAAGCGUCUUUCAAAAUCAAGCUCAUCCUCAUCAUUCAAGGCAUAUUUCAUUCCGCCUCAGUCCUAUCCAUAUUAACCCAGAGACUGUUAAGGAGUGCAACUGAUUAAUGGAAAAAAAUAGUCAUUUGAGAAAGAUUCUCUAGACAAAAACCUCCCUAGCUAGCUGCAAUCCAAACCUCACCUCUCCCAUGUUGGGAAUUCUCUUCUGCUCGUGGAUAUCUAAUGCUAGAAGUUCGAGCAAAUAUAAGGAAGCCGCAGGCUUAGGUUCGUCAUUUAUUGACGGAUUUUCCGGGCUUAAAUGACUUUCUUUUUCCUUCUACCAAUCCCAGUUCGGCUAAGACGAGGCAAUGUAUAUUGUUUUCAGUGGCACGAGCUUCUUCUUGUGAUGAGACUUUGGAUCAAUUGAACCGGGUCCAGGGGUUGACUCUAUGGCUAUUCCGCUUUUUCCGACAGCUGCUAACUCACUGGCACGCUUAAGGCCCUUGCGCCUGGUCUUUCAAAGCCUUGGGCUUGAGCAAGGUUCGAAUUCCGGGUUUUAUAUAUAUAUAAAAGGUGGGAGAACUCCGAGCAAUAUUCUUUCCUCCUUGCCUCUCUUUUCAAAUGCUCUUAAAUAAAGAGCGGUUACGCCAUCAACAGCGAAAUCGAUGGCACUCGCCUUCUUUCAGCAUUGAAUAAGUAACUUCCUUUCCCACCUCUCCCUUCCGCUGCUAAGCAGAAUAUAGCUCUUCUUCCUUUCCUCCCGGGUGAAGAAAAGCCUAUUCACCUUUGCUUUAAUGGCGAAGGACUCUUUCUGGUAUAAGGCGAUUCAAUCUUCUUUGAACCUAGUGAACAUCUUCUUUUGAUUGCUAAACUCUACUUGAGACUUUCCCUUUGAAUCCCUUCUAUCCUUCCCUCCUUACCUCUGUCUACAGAGCCCAUCUAAAUGCCUCAGCCUAAGACAUCUCAGUGGAAUGCCUCUAAUGAGCUCUUUCCGGCAGCAAGUCUCGGGUAUUCUAUCCUCCCAUACAUCCUUCCGACAAGGCAUGAAAUAGCAUAAGAUAAGGCUUCGCUACCUGACUUCUCAGCCAUUCUAUAAGCUAUAAGAAAAGUCAAGAGUAAUCAAAUCGAUAGUUAUUACGGAUCUCAUAUUCCUUAUUAACCUUGGCUACACCAUCAGUCAUUUCCUUUUUGACUACCCCAUAACCUUCUCUUGCUUGGUGUUCCAACCAAGCCGGCAUCCGAGCGGCCCACGGAGAAAAUGAGAAAAGGAAAGAGGAAAUUUCCCUUGAGCCACAGAAGAGAAGACAAAGGAUUAGCCUUUGACUAUGCUCAGGCUUCACACCAAGUCAAUCCUAUAUAUAUUCUUUGCACCUCUCCUUUCAUUCAAUAUUCUUUGAACCUUCUUCAUUGAGCGGAGGACUUAUCCUCUUAUUAGUUUCUUUCUAGUCUUUACAAUCAUCAAGACCUCCGGACCGAUCGGUCUAUAAUAUCCAAGCAAGAACAACGGACACUUCAACCGCAGUAGACCAUUUCCCAUAUGGUGGUCUUUCUUCACCCUUUGGAGGAUUGGAGGUCUUACUCCGCGCGCCCUUUUCUGUACGGGUACGUGCCCUUUAUCGUCUUUCUUUUCCGCCUAAGAUUCCUUGUUUAAUACGAGAAAUCUCAAAGUACAUUUUCAGCAAAAAAGACCCGAAGUAGGAAAUGCAGCAAGUUUUGUUGUCAAAUCAAUGGAUUUUCCUUCUUAUAGAAAUCUCGUUUUGUACAUAAAUUGCGUAAAGAGCUAUUUGAGCACUUAAACAUAGAAAGGGGAGAAUGGGUCGUCAGUUAGCAUUUGCUAAAGAAAUGCGCAAUCAACUCGUAUAGCCUACCCAACUUAAUAAAGAGACUCCGCUACUUCAGUGGAAGAGGUGGAAUUCGAUCCAGGCUGAUAGCUCCCCAGAUCCUGCAACAGACCUCGCAAUAUUCUUUGCACCCCAAAAAAAGUGUGAAAUCCGCUAAAGUGCUACUGCCUUCUGAGUUCUUGCUUCCCUUCCCACUCCUGUAAACUCUGUAAAGCCUAUUAUUUCCUUCUCCAACUCGGUAUUCGGUAUAUUGAAUAAGCGCUCGCCAGCACAGCACAUCCUCAAAGAGAAUUCCAAAAAGAAAGGUCCAGGGUCCGGAGUCCUACGUCCGCAGGAUUUAUCCUACGUCCGGAGGAUUUAUCCGUAGGACCAUCCAUAUGGAGGGAAGUAGGACUAUCCAUAUGGAAGUAGUCCGGAGUCCGCAGGAUUCUUAUCCGUAGGACUAUCCAUAUGGAAGUAGGACCAUCCGUAAUUAACCGAAGUAGUCCUCCGGACUUUCCGUAAUUAACCGAACUUUGCGCCUAGCCGAAGGACCUGUUCAAAGUCAAUCAAAGAAAAUCCGUUCAUUAACGAUAAUGAAAGAAGAAAAAAAGCAAAUUCAUCUGCUAGAUUUCAGACAUCUUUGCUUAAUGAAGACGGAGUGAAUUCCAUGAUUUUGCAAGGUUUUGCCCAUAGGAAGUAGCAAGAAAAGACAAAAAAUCAGUCAAAAUUGAUCUAUUUUCGUUAAAUAUCAAUAUGAGAAAAAGUAUGAAAAAGAAGCAAAAAAGCCGGGAAAUAGCAACUGGUCCAUUAUCAAAAUCUAGGUCAAAGAAAUUCUCAGUUCUAGUUUGAGUUUCUGGUCCGGAUACUGACGGGUCUAUUCUGGAUUCCGCUCCUCCGUUCUAAUGGCGCAAAGAAUAUUGCGGUCAUGAUUCCCAAGGCUAAUAUGGAUAGUCCUUGCACUCCGUCCUCUUGACUCGUUUUCUCUUCUUAGAUAAAUGCGCUUCUCAAUAUUCUUUGAGCUCUUUAUUCAAUGAUCUUUGAGCCUUAGUUAGGAUCAAUGAAAUUUGAUUGUUGAGAGAACGAAUUCUUCAGCUGCUUCAGUGAAUGCACCAAGGAGCUCCUAUUCUUCUGACUCUUCCAUCCUGCCGCUGAGCUCCUAGCCGGUCGUUCUAAUUCCUCCUCCGCGACUGGAUUACCGCUACGUGGGGUAUGCCGAACUUUCUUCUUCCCUCGUUCAGUUGAGCUGCUUCGUAUCCGUCUGUGUGAGCGGCUCGCACCUCGCCCUCUCGUGGCCUCGUAUUUUUCUCUUUUGAGGUUACGAACGGAUAAAGAAAAUGUGUCUGAGCGGAACGAUUUACUGAAUAUUCUAUGAUAUACGAAACUGUAUAAUGACCCAAUAGCAAGAUCCGUCAAACUCGUAGUAAAGCUGCUGAGCCCCUUCCCCUAGGCUUUCUUCUUAUGGUCGGCUUCCGAGGGGAGGGGUACGGUUCUCCUGAGUUUACUUAUUCAGGUAUACCAUUAAGAAUCAGACUGAUCAAGGCAGAGGAAGGGCCUCAAGCAAUAACUGAAAUCGGAACAUCACUCAAUAGUAGCAGCUUGGGCCCAUAGAGGAGGGUUGAUCUGGUAUGCUUUUCCUGCAUUUCUCUUUUUUUAGUGGUCUAAUCAAUAUAUAAAGAAUAGUCGCAAUAUUCGAGCAAUAUUCUUUGCGCCUACGCGGACGGGUCAAAGAGACUUGAGUUUUUUGAUGCUUUUUCGCAGCACUAACCAGGCGCUUAUUAGCCUAUUUCGGCCCCCUCUCAGUAGAACCUACUAAAAAGAUGAAAGCCUAUCUCCAACCCUUUCUUCUUCAACAUGGGAAAGAUCUCAUUCAAGAGGAAGUAAAGCAGCUUCCACUCGGGAUGCAGACUGAAAGCCGAGGCGCCCGUGGUCCUCAGUCUAGUUGAUAAUAGGAAGUCUUCCCCUAUCUCAAAAUCGAGCCCUCACUCUCGCACAAGACCCCUUUAUUUAUGGAUGUUCAUUGAGCCUCAUUCCGAUUUGACUGACUCUUAGGCACAGCUUCAAUGGCACAGCCACUCAUAGAUAGAGUUCAAUCGCUUCUCAAUAUUCUUUGAUCCUCGCAAUAUGCGCCUCCGGUCGGUCGCUCCGGCUAGUCUCUUCAAUAGGAGGUCCCACCUGGAUCCGCGAAUGAUUUACCUCCUUUUCAUCUCUUUAUGGGAGGGAAUGGAUGGACGGUUGAAGGAAGACCAUACCUUGGUAGAGUACGAGUACAUAACUCCAGAAAAAGAAGACGCCCACUCCGCGGUCCCAUAAGACAGGGAUAUUGAUGAGAGCGAUCUACUAAGAAGAAAAUCUACUGAAAGAAUGCUUUCAACCACUGCCACUGGUGCAAGCAAAAGAGAAAGGGAUGGUGGGGUUCGCUUCGGCUUCCUUCCAUUAGCCUCCCUCUGUACUUUCAUCCUAUAUAUUAGCCGACUGAUUUAUGGAACAUAGACCACUAGGCUUGAUCUUCUUCAAAGCCCUCCUUUUGAUAUUGAUAGGCUUGGAGUUGAUUCUUGUGUCUGACUGAACUUUCUGAAGGCAAAAACCAUAGAUUUGAGGCUUCUAUUCCCCAGUGGAGUCGCCAGCAGUAGGGCCCGCAUUUUCUUUGGCACCGCUUCCCACAUCAUCACUACUUUGGCCACAAAGCCCUAUCAAAAGAAAGAGGAGAAAAAGGGGUUUAGAGGCUUUUUUCUUCCUUUGAUUUUAGGCCGACGGACUCAAGAAUUUGACAUAGAGUCUACGAACCAUUGGUCCGGGUAAGGCCUUCCUUUCUAUAUUCCAGUAUAGUAGCGGGCCCUUAGCGCAGGCAAGAAAUCCAAAAAAAAUCAGUCUUCCAACACGAUUUUUCUUUAAGUAAUGGCCCCAAAGGCGGCUCAUUGAGCCGGUCAUCGGUUGCUAAGAGCCUUUCCUCACUUGAAAAAGCCACUUUUCUUACUGGGACGAAUAUUCGUUCACUGAAAUCGUCGGAUCGACCGGGCCAUAUUUCCUUUUCAUCGGUUGAUUACGCAGAAAAAAGGGAAGAAGGAGCGAGUUAAGGAGAGGAGGCGAGAUCUAAUAUGAGUUGAGAAGCGCAUUUCCUUAGUGGUCCUAAGCCCUUCCUUCCAUAUGGAUAGUCCGGAAGAUUCAUCUGUAGGACUGCGGACUCCGGACUCCGGACCACUACAAGGCGCAAAGAAUAUUGCUCAAAGCAAAGAAUAUUGCGUUAGAAAGGGGAUUAUCUGAAUCCAGAGGUCAGGAGAGAGAGGUAUGAUAAUAUGCUUUCCCAUAGGCCGAGCGGUUAGAAGGAUGCUGUGAAUCUCGAAGUAUUCUCCAAAGGAAAGUCUCAGUUGCCGAAGCUCUGUAGUAAAAGGAAAAUAACUCAUUGAUGUCUUCUCUUCUUAUGAAGGAGUAAUCAGUCUCCAUCAAAAGAGUAUGCAUAUUUGGGGGGCUGAUGUACUUGCCCGCUCGGCCUUCUUUCUUACCGAGAAGGGUGAAGAGCCAGUUGCGGAUGGAGAUUACCUAGCCUCAAGCAAUAAUGAAGAUAGGAAUAGGAUCGAAGGAGGAAUGAGUUACUUCACUCUUAGACGAGAGAGAGCUUUCCCAAGCACCGGAUCCGGGGAUGAAAGCUAUCCGUUUCGGAAGCAAGGGGGCUUCAAUUCGGUCGGGCUAGGUGCCCGCUGUAAGGAGAGGUUUCGAUAGGGUGCGCAGGUGAGAAUCCGAGUUUAGACCUCAGUGGAAAACUUCCCCAGUGGGAUAGGUCUUAAUAAGGAAAGAGAUUUUCUCUUCUUUACGGGAAAGGUUAUCUUUUCUCUUUAGGGUAGCUAGGCAGACUAGAGCUCGGAAUAUGCUCUCCAAAGUAGCUCAGUAGUCUUAGGAGUAGGAUAUGGAGUGGCUCUCGGGGCAGCGAGAGUGGAGUGGGACCAAGGACGAACUCCUUUAGUUGUAGAGUGGUAGAAGACGAAAGAUUCCAGGAAAUUCCUCUUCUUUUCUUUCAUUCCACUGCCAUUUUCGGAUUGAGUCUAUAAGUAAGACUGAUUUAGAUAUGGAUUUGAGAUUCUUCCAUUUCCCCGGUCUUUUUCUUCAUUUUUGGAUUCUCCUGCUUUUAUGAAAAAAAAUCUGAAUAUAAAUCAGUCCCACUAUUUAAGUCUUAUUCCACUAAAAGGCUGAAUUCAAUUUUCGUGACUCGACUCACAUAAAAUAAAGAGGGAUGGACACGCCUGAUACCAAAGUCGGGUGAGUAUGGUCUCUCUUUCGUGAAUCAGAAUUCAGGCUAGUAUGAAUCUCCUAGGAGAGAGGAUGUCUCAUCCGCUACAGUUACCGAUGAAGUGACCGCUGCCCACUGGUCUCGCUGGCCGGCCCAAACCCUAGGUUUUCUUCCUUUUAUCUUAUGCUUUACGAAGAGUUUCUUCUAACCACUGGUGGGAAACUGCCCUCUCUCGCAUUUCAUGGGUUCCUCCUCUCCCGCUACGUGGGGAGGUCAAAGAGGAAUUAAUCAGUCCUCCGCCUAAUUCAUAUGGGGAUCUGCUCAUUCAUAUGGAUCAAAAUCAGUCCCACUAUUUCAAAAGAAAUAUUCAUUGCGCCUCGUCUGAAGACCUUCCACUCGGCCGCUCUCUCUCUCUGUGAGGCUUGACUCAAGCGAAGAGAAGGCAGUCAACCCCGCAAUCAACUCAGUCUUCCCCAGCAGCCCGAGAUCUUCUUCCACUCCCUUGCUCCCUUUCGUACUUAUCUUUAUCUGUCUUCUUCUUCCCAUUUCAGAUGAUAAUGGCAGAGACUGAUUAUGAUACGGAAGAGCUACUCUCUGACGGGAAAGCUGCCAAGGCCUGUCGAUACUUCUGACUCUGGAUCCCUGACCUUUCUAACCUAACCCCCCUUCCGAUCCCUACUAACCCACGGGGCGGAAUCUGAGAAGAACAUCGAUCAGUCGCUUGCAGGAUUUCUGCCUUCUCUUCGCGAUCGGGAAAUCUUUUCUUCUCCUUUUCUAUCUCAUUAUCUCAUUCUUUACGAAAUGCCAUAAAUUCGAUUCUGAGGCCCGUCUAUAAAGUGAUUUUACGCACGUGCCCCAGGAAAAUGCUCAUUCAAAGCAAGGAUGGAUCUUCUUUCUGUAGUCCUUGCUGGAGCCCACUACGCGCUUGCCUAACCCUAGUUCUAGCUCCGAUCCUUAUCUUUCUUAGCAGAAAGCUCUUUCUCGCUCCUUGGAGAAUGCUCUUUCUGAUCCCGAGCCAAGGAUUCAUUCUCCUCCUUGUCAAUAUUCUUUGAACAAGGCUUCCGCUUAAAUCUUUGACUAUACUAGCGCUUUCGACUUGAUAGUGGAACCUUUUCUUUUAGGAGAUGAUGCACAAAUAGAGUUCUUGGUCUCGGGUAGAUAUGGUAGAACAGUGUCUCGUAGCAUUUAAGAAAAGAGAGAGCGCACUUCUCAAAUUCUUUGAGCCGUCCUCCGUCCUUAGUCGUUCUUUAUAUCCAUAUUAGCUUUUCGGCCAAGAUGACAUUCUUUCUUUUUCCAUGAAUGAGUCCGGAGGACUGGUCUCACCUCCCAAAAAUACCCAACCAAGGCAUCCCCUCUUCCUUCCUGUACGGAGUUCUCAUUCUUCUUCCCCAGCCGAUCGAUCCGGACCUGUCCUUUCCCUCUCGUCUUCCUCCACUCCUCCUUACUCCUUUUCAUGAGCUCCUGGGUUUCCAGCACUCUUCGAUUUCUCUUUUCUAAAAGAAAGAGAGUUUCUAGAUAAGCCUCGCCUUAGGAAUAAGGAUCUCAUUCCCGAUCUUUCUACUACUGGAAGAACUAAAGCAGCAAAAGCAAAUCAACUUCAACGGAUGCCUCAUCAGAACCUACUAAAGAAAGCCUACCGCAACAAAGAAAAGAGGUCAAGGAAAGCCUACCUUGAAAUGUGGUCUUCUCAUUCCACUCAAUCUUUCUGUCGAGCAAUCGUCUUCGCCCGAUCCGAAAGAUCUCAUUCCGCUCGAGCUAAGCGGUCCUUUUCUCGUAUCCGUCUCUUGAGCUGCUUCCUAUCCUUCCUUCUAUGGCUUCGCGGAGAUCCAAGGAGUUGUCUUUCUUGCUAUGGCCCCCGGCCGGACCCCUUCCACUCCUUUCCCCCCGGUCAUUCCAACCUUCACCAAGGCAUCCUUAAUCUCCAAUCCCGCAUCCUAAACCUACUGCGCUUGACUCAGUAUAUUGACUAACUACCCCCGAUACAGGAUAAUAGACUUCUUCCUCAAGAGGAAAUGAUAAGAGGCGAAUGGUCGAGCUUAUUCUAAGGUUCAAGAGAUCAUGCCCUAUCUUCAACCGUGGGCUUACUAAAUACUUGGCUUUUCUACCGCUACGUGGGUAUCCCGAGUUUGCAUGAGAAAGGGUUUAUUCCUCAACGCCUCUCCAAAUUCCCAUAGAAAGAGAGGUCUAUUCUUCUCAAUAUUCUUUGACCCUCCAGGUGAUUCAAUCAGAAUUCUUCUUUCAUUCGAGUGAAUGAGUUCAUUCUGCUUUCAUUCUCGUUAAUGAGCUUCUUUGAUUGACUUUUCACAGGCGCAAAGCAUAUUGCGUGUUUGCGUGUUUGCGUGACAAAGAAUAUUGCAAGAAUGCAGAAAGAAGAAGAAGAUCAGUGCUUACCCACUGGAAGACCAUUAUAAAGGACUUAUAUCUUUUCGUUAUCAACCACUAUUUAGAGCACUUGAUGACUGAAAUCUCUUAUACACUGUACUAAUCGCAGAGCUUGAUAAAUGACUAUUGAAUAUUGAGAAAGAUAUAUUGAAAAAGUCGUACAGAGUAUGAAAUUCUGAGAAGAAGAGGACUGGGCUUAACUUUCUCUGAUUAUUUCAUUCGCGGAGCUUUAUAAAGAAAGAGAAGUCGCAUGCACUAUCAUUAUUCAUAAAGCACUGAUCAAGGAAGGGCCCAAUAAAAAGGGACUGAUUUUUCCUCUUGUUUUGGGGGCUCGACUAAGAGAUGCGGUUACAGACGUGACCGUCUUCCUGUGCCAGUUGUGGAAGUUGCAGAAUUCGUUCUUGCUGGAUAAGUUUCUCUUCAGUCCCAAGGCAAUUAAUAUCAUUUUCCUUCCGGGGAUUCUUUUCCUUUCUAUGUCGAAAAGACUAUAUAAAAGAAUCAAUCCCGCCUCAGCAUGAAACCUCUAUUUUCUCCUUUCGGCUUCAGAGGCCAGUCUGAGGAGUUUCCCGGGCGCCUUAUAAAUAAAGAAGCCGAUCUCCAUCCACGGGUUUCUAGCAUAAAGGAUGGGGAAUGAAAGGCCUGUGAUCCCCGAUCCAGGUUCUACCUCUUAUAUGAUGCGUGGGGAGUCCUGUACGCUUAUUCAUCCCUUCCAUUAUACUUGUUCAUGAAAGAAAGAAAAUAUGGGAAUCUUUCCACUAGAUCUCGAAGAAAAAGAAGCCCCGCACCAAGGGCAAGAGGGAAAAGCCAGGGUCUAUCCUUUACUGGGGGUCACUCCGAUUCCUGUAUUGGUAUUGAGUCCUUGGGUUCAGUCUCCUUUCCUGCUAAUAAGAAAUUCAUCGAAAUCCUUUAUAACUUCUUCUUCUCAUCGACUACGUCUCCUUCGGAACCUGCGAAUCCGCGAUUCAUUCAUUAUUCUUUCUAAAUAAGAAGAUAUGAAGAACUGCUCAACCCCUCAGCCCCUUUGGUCCGGCUCUUCUCCGAUUGGAAAGAUCUGGUACGGAGUCUUCCCCGGCCCUGGACACUUGGAGUACUGAGUGGGAUUAUGAAUUUCAUAGUUCAUGGGGACUCAUUAAUUCGAUUUCUUUUAUUCAAGACGAGACUUAUCCAUUCGCUACCACCAGUACCAUAUUCCCUUCCAGGUGGUGGGGUUCCUUCAUUAAAGACCGGUAACUCCGAUCCCGUAGGCCUGAUCAAAGGUCAAUCUUGGGUUAAGACCGAUCCGAGAAGCGAGAAGAGAAAGAAAAAAAAGAGAAUGGUUUUAGUAAAGGAAGGGAACUCCUCUUGCCCCUUUGCGAACCAUCUCGAUCGGGUUCAGACAGAUAAAGAUCCCCACGUAGCGGGAAGAGGCCUCAAGGUGGAAUUCUACUCUGACAGGCGCGUAUUAUCUGGACCGCCCGUCUCAAAUUUCCCCUCGGUCAAUGAUAAGUACGAUUAGCAGAACGAAGGCAGAAAGGAUCGGAGCGGUCGGUGCCUAGGUUAUUCAAUCUACAGAAUGCAGAGUCAAGCGAGAAAGAAAGAGAACUAAACUAAGACGGGACUCGAGACGAGGCGAGAUCUAAGCGCGUAGUGGUCAAAUCUGAUUAUCAAUAUCAAGAGCGGAGACGGAGGUUACGAGAAAAAAGAGUAUUCAAGAUCAGAGACAGAGGUUCAAAGAAUAUUGACAAUGAACAAGGAUCAGAUAGAGAAAAUAAUUGCGGUCUUACUCAAUUCAAUCUCAUUUUUUUUUCUUGUGUGCGAUUAUUCAUUAUUUUGAUUCGAAUGACGGAGUACCUCUUUCAAGGUUAUCCCUAGGUCUGGACCUAGAUCAACUUAAGUGAAAUGGAAGGCAAUAUUCUUUCCUCCUCCUUCUGAACCAUUUGCUUUGUCAAACCCAUUAGAUUCGGGCUGCUCUUGGGAAGUAGAUUUAGGUAUGGGAAUUGAUCUAAGUUAGGGUCUUUCUGACUAAAGCUCAUCAACCCUAAUCUAAUUAAGACUUCGUCCUUUCGCUACGCUACGAGACCUCCGACUUAUUAGAGAAAGGUGAUACCAUCUCUGACUCCUUUCGGAUCCUUCUGCGCCUAUCGGUGAAUAUGUAUACUUGAGAAGGUUGAGAUGAUCUCUUGUAUACAAUGAAAUUAGGGAUGGAGAGUCAAAAAUGCCAGCUUGAAUGAGGAUACCCUGACUCCUCUUUGGUUUAUGACCCAGCUCUAUAGAAAUUGGUAACUUACUUCGUUCAGUCUGACUCUUGCUCUGAUUCUGCGGGUUCGGAAAGUCUCUUCCCUCUUCGCCUAUCGUCCCUUGACUUGAUUUGCCGCUGGGAUGUUUCAAAAAUCAAAGAAAGAAAGGUGCAAAGAUCUAUGGCCCCACUACGCGGGAUAUUGUGGGCUAUUCUAAACCAUCCCUUCUCGCUUUAUAUUUGACUUUCUCUCUCAAAUUCUUUGAGCCUCGCCUAGAUAAAAGAUCAUAAACUAAGAAAGGGAUGACCCUACUUCUCUUACGUACGUAACAAAGAACCUUUGACUCGACAGAAGAAGCGAAACUCUACUCGCAUAUUGCUCUCUAUUUAUAAAUAAACUUAGCUCAAGAAAAUUCCCAAGAAUAUCCCGUCCGAAGUCCUUCAUUCGAUCUUUCUUUCUCUGGGUCCUCCGUUUUAGAGUCCUACUUCGGUUAAUUACGGAUGGUCCUACUUCGGUUAAUUACGGAUGGUCCUACGGAUAAAUCCUCCGGACUACUUCCCUCCAUAUGGAUGGUCCUACUUCUAAUGGAUAGUCCUACGGAUAAGAAUCCUCCGGACUCCGGACGUAGGAUAAAUCCUGCGGACUGCGGACUCCGGACUACGGAUAAAUCCUCCGGACCUGUCUUAUGGAACCUUCGGUCUUAAUACUCCUAACUACGGGGUGAGGUGCAAAGAAUAUUGACAGUCUUUCUCUCUCGCAGCUGAGACUCGGCCCUUGCUUCCUGCCAAUGCAUUCUCAUACCAACUCCUAGAAGAUAUAGCAUAUUCUCUACCCACUACGCGGUAUUCUACCUGCGGAUAGCUGAUCUUCCCGCUCCGUGGGCUAAGUAGAAGAGGAAGAAGAGAAGACCAGAGACUUGGCCGCCGACAGAAAAGGGGUCCUUUCCUUCCGAUCCUGGGCCUGGUCCCUUUCGUCGAAAGUAAUAAGUCGAUAACCCUGAAAUGAAACUGAAACCUACACAGCAAGAACGACCUCAAUGAACAAGGGGCCCCAAGAGGACGUUGAAAGAAUGAAUCGCCGAAAUGAAAUAAUGCAUUAAUCUCCUCGCGAAUUAGACGCCCGACCAAAGGUUCUUUCAUCAUCAGCAUAUGUGGAUUCAGUCGGGACGUUUUUGAGGUUCUUUUGCACGAUCUCAAAACCCACUACGCGGCGCUUUCUUUACAUCUUUCGACCUUAAAGCCACUUAUCUCAUAACCUCACGAAUGAAAGAGCAUGCAGACUGGUUAGCAGCUUCAUACCGCCCCCUGGGAUGGGAAUACGAGACAGCGGACCACUCUCCUACUCUUUCUAUUCGCAUAACCGAUCUCCUUUCCAGUCGUAUUCAAACCUCUGCCUAUAUUGGGGAGGAUUCUAGACGCGGGAAGAAACCUAUCCAAAGCCUGAGAAUCUCGCAAUAUCAAUAUUCUGCUUUCGAGCAAUAUUCUUUGCGCCUUCUACGCGGUCGUCCUAAUCCCUUGUUCAUUGAGGUGAGGACCUUUGUUUUUGGAGGAGUUAUCUACCCUUUCUUUGCUUUGUUUAUGGAUCAAAAUCAGUCCUUAAAAUGAACCAAAAUCUUCUUCUCAACAAUAUCCCUGUCUUAUGGUAUGGAGCCUUCAAAAAAGUGGAAUAAGACUCCUAACGUCAGAAACAUUUACCUAUUUAUCUUUAUCAUGACUUUUUCUCAAUAUUCUUUUCUUUCUAUUAGCUCCAUUAAUCAGUCGCAAUAUUCUUUGCACCUUUCUUUCUCAGGAGCGGAAGCGUAGCGUAGCGGACAGCCUUAAAGCACUUGCUUUCAGCGUAGCAGAGCGGUGGGUUCGCUGGCUUCUCCCUUUCUUUUCCAGCGGAGCGGACAGGACACCUACCUUUCUUUUCUCUUUUCCAGAAAAUCGCUGCCUGAGCCCUUAAGAUUUUCAGCUACGCGUAGCGGUGCCUUCGCCCCUCUCCUUUCAGUCGAGCUUCUUCGCCCUGAUGUGAUGACUCUUUCCGUUGGUUCUUGCUGUUGGGCUCCGCCCCGUACACUGACUUCGUGUACUUACUCUGUACUUCUUAUACUUGACUUCUUGUACUUCUUGUUGUCGGGCUCCGCCCCUUAUACACUGACUUACCUCUUGUACUUACCUCUGAUUGUACUUCUUGUUUUGGGCUCCGCCCCGUAUACUUACCUCUUCUUGUUGUUGUUGGGCUCCGCCCCUCACACUUGUUCUUUCUUUCCUGCCUCUUCCACGCAAUAUUCUUUGCACCUCACACGCAACUCAUAUUGCAUUGAGCCUCUUGUUGCUGUUCUCAAAUUCUUUGCCCCUUAUACUUGCUCUUCUUCAACUUCUUGUUGUCGGGCUCCGCCCUCGCAAUAUUCUUUGCGCCUAGCCGUCACGGAUUGGUUUACGCCUAGACGGGAUAGAACGAAGAACGGAUCCGCUUUAGCCUAGAGGGAUAUUCGGAUAAGCGGAUCAGCCGAUCUUGCUGUUUUGACCUUCUUUGUUGCCUAGAAGGAAGAGACAAUUACAGAGGUGCAAAGAAUAUUGCGGUAAGAUAAGAAAGAGGGAGAUUAUGAAGAAAAGAAGCGGAUAAGCGGAUCAGCCGAUCUUGCUGUUUUGACCGCGUAGUGGGUUACGGAGAAGAAGGAAGGGUGAAGGGUGAAAGAGAGAGAAGAACUUCCGAAAGAGGUCUCGCAACCGCGUAGUGGGCAUUGACUGCAUAGCUGCUGAAUACCUAUCAUACUUGUCCGGCUUUUCAUUGUCGGCCAUAUCGAUCUGGCUGCCUUCUUGGGGCUUCGCCCUUCAAUAUUUUCAGCGGAGCGGAGUAGCAGAGCGGUGGGUUCGGGGGGCUUCGCCCGCGGAGGGGGUUUGAUCCAGGAGCGUAGCGUAGCCUUUAAAGAAGCACUUGAUCCCUUAUCAAAAAAUAGGAAGGAUCCAUAAGACAGGGAUAUUGUAAGAGAAAGGGAUAUUGUAAGAGAAAGGGAUAUUGUAAGAGAAAGGGAUAUUGUAAGAAUUUGUGGAUUCUUCUUAAUCAGUUCAUUAACGAGAAUGAAAGAAUAAUUCGGAUUGAAUAACCUGGAGGGAAAUCCAGAAUAGACCCGUAUUUCUCCGGACCAGAAACCAUAAGAAAACUCUGUUCAUUGAUUUUACCUGUCCUAGGAGUUCUUCUUUCAUUGCGUUUUCCCGGCUUUUUUGCUUCUAAAUAGGACUAAAUCAAAGAUUUCUAUUUAACGAAAAUAGAUCAAAAAUGACAGAUUUUUCAUGAUUUCUUGCUACUAUUUCUUUUCAGCUCUCCUUAUCAGUCGAGCCCAAAACCUAGCAUUUCCCUCCGCGGAUUCAUCUGAAAUCUAGCUCUGAAAUCUAGCAGAUUCAUAAUUCUUCUUUCAUUCUAGUUAUGAAAUCAUAAUGAUUCUUUCAUUCUCGUUAAUGAGCUUCUUUCUUUGCGCCUUUCUUUCUCCGUCCGAAGGACUAUCCAUAUUAAUCGCGGAAGCGGAGCGUAGCGGAAAGAGCCGCAAUAUUCUUUGCACCUUUGUUUGAUGUUUGAGAAAAGAAAAAUCGCAAGUCAAAUUCUCUAAUGGAUAGGCCUCUAAUUUAUCAUAGCGAAUAGUCCAAAAACAAAGGUCCAGAUGAAAAAUAGCAUUUUACCGACUCCUCCUACGCUAUAUACUCCUUCGGACGUCCUCUGGACUAUUCAUCCUAUUACUUCUUUGAUUUCAAGCUUCCGUCGGACUGAUUAAUGGAACUAAUAUUUACGGGAGGCUCAAAGAAUUUGAGAUCAUUCUUUCUCCCCUCCAAAAUAAUUGAGCCUCAGGCGCAAAGAAUAUUGCUCGAAGGAUCAAUGAAAUUUGAUGAUAAAGAUUAGACUGAACUUUGAACCUUGUUCAUUGUCAAUAUUCUUUGAACCUUACUAAGGAAAGAAUGAAAUAAUUACUCAAAUUGUAUCUUAGCUUUAGGCUAGUCCUAGCUUACUCAACGACGAAUACGACUCUUUCAGUGGAUAGCAGCAAGGGCCCGAUCCAACUCGCUUGUACCAGUCUGCCUCUACUUUCUUUUUCCGACACUGAAUUCUUCCUCUUAGCCUGAACCUAGGCUUUCCUUCCUCUCAUGAUAUAUUCCUGAGCAAUAUUCUUUGCGCCUCUCCCGCCUUCUAAUUGGAUCUGGACCUUUCUUUUUGGACUGAUUUUGAUCCAUAUGACUCCGGACUGAUUAAUGGAACUGAGUAUAUUCACCUUUUAUUUGCCGCCUUGAUUUUCUUCAUGGAUUCUUCAAAGAGUGGAAUCAUUGAUUUGUUAUUAGAUAUCUCUCUCUCCUAAUCCUCUCGAAACUGCACUCAUUCUGAUUCAACUUCGGUCGUUCUAAUGGAUUUCUCAAUCUGAAGCCUUUCUUCUUUUCUUAGAUAAAUGCGCUUCGCUUCGCGCAUCUGGACCCCUCCGGAGGAGCAAGGAAUAGUGCAGCGCAAAGUGCGGAUAACUUCAAAAAUCUUUGAGCCUUUAUUUAGGCCUUCGAAUAAGGAGGAGCUUACCUCUCAACGGAUGAGGUGCAGCCAACUACUUAUGAAAGAAAAGGACUGAUUUUCACAUACUUAUGUAUGAAAGGAGAACCGCUACGUUUUCCUUUUCAGGCGACUGCAACUGCCAAAACGGACCUCUUCGCGGCUUCCCUUGACGGAACGAAGAGCGGCCUUAUCCCCUGCCCUGAUCGCGAGACGUGUAUCCUGCACCGCGGAGUGGGAUGCCUAACCCAUUUAUGUCUUCGACCCGAAGCUUCUUUGUUUUGAAGCCAUGAUGGAAAAGAAAAACCUUUGAAUGUGGGUAGAAGGGAACCUCAAAUCCCUUGUUUCCCACUUUCAGUUACUUACUCAACUAACUCUUAAGGAAGAAAGGUCAGACGAUAAAGCAGACCCUAACAAGACUAUUAUUUAAGACUAUUGAGCCCACGGAGCGGGAAGAACUGAUGAACAUAAGGCCUAAUUUUGGGGGCGUCCUUAGUGGUCUAAGCCCACGUAGGGGGAAGAAAGAAAAGAGCUCCUAAUCUCUGGGUCCUCCGUUUUAGAGUCCUUCGGUUAAUUACGGAUGGUCCUACGGAUAAAUCCUCCGGACUACUUCCUUCCAUAUGGAUGGUCCUACGGAUAAAUCACCUGGACCUUUCUUUGGCCCUGCGGACGUAGGACGUAGGAUAAGAAUCCUGCGGACUCCGGACCACUAUUUAAUAUUGAAAGUAAUAGCUAUCGAUCAUUCUUUGAGCUAUAAAGCCAUUAAUCAGUCCUUCGCUCAAUGAAGAAGGUGAAAAGAAUAUUUCAUGAAGCUUACCUUCCCUUCUUCCUUUUGCAGUAAGCGCCUCAAUGAAGAAGGGCUAUUUCAUCCGGUGCUAUGGCCCUUCCCGCCCUUGAUGCUUUAUUCUCUUCAGCAAGUUAGGAUGCAAGAAAGAAGGAUGUGACUGAGAUUCUGAUUAGAUGACUUUGAAGGAAAAGUGGUACUUUCUCUUUGCUUCAAUCAUAAGAUGGUAACCCGCCCUAAGCAAGAUCGGUUCAGCAGGCCAAUUCACGCAUCUUCCGCAGCCCUAUAUGGAAAUGCUCGCCUUCGUCUUUUUUUCAUCCGGACUGAACGGUAAACUUGGGGUUCAGAUACAUCGUACCCCUAUGAUGAAAUCCGCCUAUUCCAUGGAUAAAGAAGUCCCACGUAGGAAAAAUGGUCGUUUUUGGAAGGCAAUAUUCUUCGCUCCUGCUAACCGUCCUCCGGACUAUCCGUAUGAACCUAGCCUUCGGACCAGUCCUCCGGCGCAAUUCAAUAUGCGACUUUGAACCUUUUUUUUCCUCUUUCUCUGAUGAGACUGAGUUCUCUUGUCGAUGUAGAGACUGAUGGGAAUAGGUCCAUACGAUGGAAUAGGGUCUCUUGUCAACCAGUGAGCUGUGAAGCGGCCUUCCUUCGCGACAAGUCAAUGAUUAGGACACCUUUCAGCGUCCAAUGAGUUCAGGGAAGGGGUUCAAGCCCUAAUCCAAAGUCUAUCUUCGCUAUAUCUUAACCUUAGCACUUCUCUGUACUAAGCUCUUUCACCCUGCUUUAGUAAAUGGCGCGUCUUUGAGUUCGUACUAUUACUCAGCAUGCAAGGUAUUGGUCUUUCGGGAAGAAAAUCAGGCUUGAAAGUCUUCUUUGGUGGGAGCCGUAGUUCGUAUCGUCUAUUGGCUCCCAAUUAUCAUUGCCUAUCCGCUCGAAGCCUUUAAGUAAAGGACUGGGGAAUUCCAUCAAUACUGAUCGUAGACAAUUGAGAUUAAGUGGGAAGAGUAGACUUGAAAGCGAGCGGGAAGAUGGCUGGGAGUAGCCUUUAAGAGUGCUGGUCUACCCCGAUUUUCCCAUUGAGAGGGAGGGAGCCACCCCUAUUCAAUUAGUAGAGCUCUAUUGAACCUUGGAAUUGGCCAAUCACCAAGGGCGAUCUUAGGUUAGCAUUCUCUUAGAAUAGAACGAACUCGAAAAAUCAGCGGUACGGCACAGCCGGGGAGAGCGAAGAAAGGUAGAGCACAACUAUCAUUUUCAGAAAGAAUCCCGCAUCCGAAAGAAGUAAUGCAAUUGCUUGACCCAAGAAGGUAAGGGAGAGGAAAGACCCCUACCGCUAACUUCUCUGGCCUAAUCUCCCAGAAGAAGAAGAAGAAGAUUUAGUGGUUUGAAAGUCAUAAGAGGCUCAAAGAAUGAUCGAAGGCGCAAAGAAUUUGCGAGCGACAGAUGACUGAGCAUCUGAAAAAAAGAGAAAUAGUUAUGACUUUAGAAACUUGUAAGAAAGAGAAGAUCGGCCUGGACAGAAGAGGAAAGAAGACUCCUUAUCGAGGAGAAAAGUCUAAAAAAGAUAUCAUACUCCAGCUCAUAAGCUCAUUCUUUUCUGCAAAUGAGGCGUCCGAAGGACCAAACCUUUUUGACCGCUACGCUCCUCUCCGCGGUGAUGAACCGAAAAUCUGAUAAUAGAUAGUCCGGAGGACGGCUCAAGACGAGCCGUCCGCUCCUUUUGAGUCUGAUUCCACUAAAAAAAAUGACGACGGAGCACUCGUCCUACGUAGCUUAAUAUGGGAGUCAGAAAUCCCGGGUUAAUAUGGAUAGUCAUCUGGACCUUGAUUUUUGGAGGCUCAAAGAAUCUCACGGAGGGGGAUAGUCCGGAGGACUGUUAAGGCUCAAUGUAAUAUGAGUGAAACCUAUUACUUUUCCAUAAUACUUUCAAUAAAAGUGGCAAUAAUGAAAGAUCAUGACUUCCUUCUUCUUCUUUCUGGGAGUCCGGAGGACCGGUCUUCUCUCAAAUUUCAUUGAGCCUAACUAUUCCUUGCUCCUCCAGAGGGAUCAUGACUCUCGCAAUAUUCUCAAAAUUGGAAGUGGAAUCUCACGUUCCCUAAUGGAUAGUCCUUCGGACCUGUCUUAUGGAGCAAAAAGAAAGAAUGUCAUCGUAAUCUCAUAUUUCAUUGACCGUUAGGCGCAAAGAAUAUAUUUAGAGUUUACAAAUUAGGAGAAAGUGCUGAAGAAUGAACUCAUUAACGAUAAUGAAAGAAGCUAAAAACAAAAUUCAUCCGCUAGAUUGAAGACGGAGUGAAAUACAUGAUUUUGCUAGUGAUAAGGAGUCCGCAGUCCGCAGUCCUACGUCCGCAGUCCGCAGGAUUUAUCCGUAGUCCGGAGUCCGCAGUCCGCAGGGCCAAAGAAAGGUCCAGGUGAUUUAUCCGUAGGACCAUCCAUAUGGAAGGAAGGAGGACUAUCCAUAUUCAGGAGCGGAAUCAAGAAUAGACCCGUCAGUAUCCGGACCAUAAACUCAAACUAGAACUGAUCCAUGUGAAUUUCUGGGAUAGGCUUGAUUCUUUCAUUGCGUUUUCCCGGCUUUUUUGCUUCUUUUUCAUACUUUUUCUCAUAUGGAUAUUCUACGAUAAUUGAGUGAAAAAGAAGGAAUUUUCAUGAUUUCUUGCUACUUUAUAGGCCCAAAAC